CGCCGGCUUCUUCCGGCUUCAUUCUUUCCUCCACAGAUGAAGGCGCUUUGAAGGCCACGUGCUCAGCACACAGACGGGAGCAAAGCAGACCUUGAUUUCCUGCAGGAAACUAGGGACGGGGUGCCAGACAGACGCAGCGUCUUGACUGGAGCGGUCAACGAGAGGAUGAAGAGAAUUGGAGGAUUUUAGGUCCAUUUGGGAAAUCAGCAGGCUGUGGACGUCCCCCGGAUCCUGGGGAGCAGGCGAGAGAGGGCCGUGUCAAGAGAACCGCUGAGAUUCACGGCUGGGACAGCGGGAACUCAGGACACGGACAAGGACCCAGCGCGGCCCUGCUCCAGCCAGGACGCCCUCAGCGCACAGCACAAGUAGGUCUGCCUUCCGGGCCUCCCUCUGCAGCCCGACUGACGCAGCAGCGGACAGCCCGCCCCGCGUGGGUUCACUGGGGACCCUGUUGGAGCAGCAGCCUGGGGGACGCGUCGCCGAGGACAGGCCUGGCUCUGGCGAUCACCGCAGGUGUCGGCGGGAGCGUCUGCACCCCUGCAUGGAGGGGCUCCCUGGAAGUGCCCAGGCCGCACUGGGGCCCACACAGGGCCCUCUGCAACCCGCUCGGCUCAGGCCAGAGUCAGCAGAGCCCCGGGUGGCCUGUCCCCGUCAUCCCCGUGCACCUGCCUGCACCUGUCCCGUGUCCGUGCACCUGGGAUGUGCAGCCAGCGGCCUCCAAAGUGUCUACACCAUUUGCACGUUCCCUAGAACGAAAGGUCUUCAGCUCCAACGGCACCUACUGGGAGGGGUCUUCCUGGGUGCCCAGCGCAGUCCCCCCCACGUUCCCCUGCAGCCGCCACAGGGGCCGGCUUCUGUGCUUCCUCUGCAGGCCCCACACCGAGGGCUGGUCCUGUGUACACACUUACCUACCAGCUUGUCUGUGGUUAGACACACACACACACACACACUCACUCACACACCCCACUACAUACAGCACAUGUGCACACCCCAUACCACACACCCCACCUGCUGCAGACACACCCCAUCCUCAUGAGUGUAAGCUCAUGCAUGCGGGGACUUUCGCUCACGUUGUACGCUGACGUAGAGCUGCUCACUCCGUGCAGAGCUCAGCCCAGGACAAAGGCGGCCCUGGGCGGGCACGGCUGAAUGACUCUGUGAGUGUGUGCGUGAGGGGGGGGGGGUCACCCCUGUCAGGUGGAAGCUGGACCUGGGUCCGAUCCCGGCUCCAUGACUUAGCAGCCGCCCUGACAGGGACGAUACCGCGAUCUGACAUCAGUGUGCAGGGCGGGGUGGGGGGGGAGAGGCCUGCCCAUCUCACCACCCCGCGGACCCCGCCACGGUGGGCCAGCCCCCUCUGUCCAGCCCACGGGCACACGUCACCACCGGCUGAAAGAAUUCCUCUGGCAAGACCUGACCUGCCGGGAGCAAGUAAGCCCCGAGGCCUCACGGCAGAGACUCUGUGACCGUGACCGUGAGCGUUUGCCAAGGCCCUGAGUGCCCCCCGCGGAGGGACGGGUAGCUACGUGGCGGUGUGUGCGUGUUGUAAACACGUUCAAGAGGAGUGGAGCCCACGUCUGGUCCGUGAGGAAACAAGACAGAGGCCGCAUGAGCCGCGGCACCGGACCGACGGGUGCUUGUGUUUCCAUCAUGGGACAGUGCUGGGUGAGGAGGGUCCAUCUCUGCAGCCCGCGCUCUGGUCCCGCUCAGCCCUCCCUCCGCGGGGCAGCCCCUCCACCCUCCGCGUCUGCCCUGCGGUGGCAGCGGGGGGGCACGCGGUCUGUGUGGCGCUCGGGAUGGGCCUGGCCCGCGGCCCGGUCGGCUCUUCCCGCUAAGUUUUCAGGCACAAAAGAAGGGUCCAGAAGGAAUCACACAGGAAAAAAAAAUACUGAAAAAAAAGAAAAGAAAAAGGUAAUAAUGGUUUUAGUUCGAGUGACCGGAUUAGGAUUAUUUUCUUUUAACUCUUGUCUCUUUCCUAUAGCGUGUGCACGAGAUGCUCUCGGAGGCACGAAUCCCGCUUCAAGUGGAAGUGAAGUGCCCCAGAGCUGGCGGCCGGGCCCAGAUUGCUCCGGGAGCGCGGACAGACGGGUGGGCCGGCGGCCAGGAGAGCCCACAUCCCGCCUCUCCGGAUCGACCCACUUGGAGCCACUUCCUCCCCGUCUAGAGCGGGUUGCAGCCGACACCAGUCUCGCCAGAUUCUCCAACACCUUUCCGGAACACGCCGCCUGCUCGGCAGCGUGGGGACCACGGGGAAGCGGCUGGUUCGCAGCCUCACACGCUCUACAUUCCUCUGGUAGCUUAAGCCAAGCAAGAUCGCCUUCCCCGGACGGUGUCCUGAUCGCGCUCCUUGAGACCCGCGCCCAGCCAGUGAUUCCCUCAUCAGGGUCACAGGUGUCCGCCCGGCACCUCCCCCCGCCGCGGCCUGCGGCCUUGGGACACACCAAUGGGACCCUGCCGGCCUCUCCGGUCUGAGGAAGGGGCGACGGGGAGGCCCGGGCACGGCUGCAGGUGUGCCCAGGGCAUCCUGGACACGGCAGCCCGCUGAGCAGGUGUUUGCAGUGCCCAUGCCUUCGGGUGCGACUGGGACGGAGUCACACACGGUCCGGCGCCCCUCCUAGGUGCCAGCCUCAGAGAAAGACACCGUGGGCUAUUUUUAAAUGUGAAAGACGGGGCCCUUCCUUCGAGGAGCUGCUGGUGGUCGUCAGUGCCGAGCGUGAGUGCAGCAAGGCGUCCUUGCCCGAUACGACGAGAGCCCCACGGGCCCCCAGAGGUUCCUCCGCCCUCGAGGUCCGGGAGGCCUGGAGCCAGACCCCACCACUCGGCCUGGGAGCACUCGCUCGGUGUUCGUCCGUGGCGACACUCUGUGCAUGGCAGGUUACGGGGAUCCCCGCCCUGCCAGCUGAGCAUUCGGCCCAUCACCCCGUGAGGCCCCAGAGUUAGGGACUGGGGGGCCCUGACGUGAACCACUUUCUCCGUCUGCUCCAGAGAUGGGGGGAGGGCCGCCAGCCAGCAAGCAGGGGGUCAGAGCAGAGGUGGGACUUAGCUCGGGCUUCGGAGAGGGGGGCUGGAGCAUGGCGGGCUGGACAAGGCGGGGAAGGCAUCCCGGGAGGUGGGUGGUUACAGCACCAGCAGGGCUCGCUUCCUCCAAUCCCCUGCCGCCCCCCCCAAGCCCACAGGCCAUCCCCUUGUCCCCCCUGGAUUCAGGGAGGGACUUCUGGAGGCGACAGGUCCUGGAGUCUUGGAGCAGACUCACCUAUGAACCAGAGGAGCCCCUGCCAUCACCCCUCCACGCCUGGAUGCCCCCAGACCUGCAGCCGAGCGCAUACCCCCACCACCACCCAUGGGGCCCUGCUGAGCUCAGGAGAGGGGUCGGCAGAGGCGGAGGAGCGCCAUCGGGUGGGGGGCUCACGGCCCAGGUGUAGUAUUAAGUCAGAGGUCAGCAGAGAAUGAUGCACAGGACGUGGGACCCGGUGGGGCCGCGCCCGUAUAUGGGCCGAGCUGCAGACCGUCCCUUGCCCAGCGCCUGGGGCGGGCCCGGGCCCAGAUUCCCCAGUGGUAACUGUGUGCUUGUGUUUUUCAGAACAAGGAUCUGAAGCAGGAACAGCAAAAAGCACACGUACGUUAAGCGCCCUGAGUGACGCCAGGUGGCUUCUUAAUCACCACUGUGCAUUUCUUAAGCCCCUAACGAGAAAGGUCCGGAAGGCUGUUUCUUGAGGCUCCCGGGACCCCAAGGCAGGGCACAGGGGCCGGGCGUGGGCGGGGCGGGCGCAGAGCACAGAGCAGGUGAGCCUAAAGUCUGCGACGCGGGGGCUAGACGGCGAGGAAGGUGGCCUCAGGCGGCAGACGGGGACGUGUCUGGGACUGUGGGGCCUUCUCACGAGGCACAGCUGCCUCACGAGGAAGGUGCUGGCUCUCGGCCGGCGUCUCUCCUGGCCCACGGCUCUGACGGUCCCAGUGCAUGUGGCUCCGCAGCAGGGGAGGGGAGGCAGGUGUCAGAGGGAGAGGAAGAAAGGGGCCAUGUGUGCCCAGGGACCCCUGGCCUGACCUGCCCACCCAGGAUGUGGGAGCAGGACAUCCCUGACCAGCUGUCCAGCAGCCGGUGUGGCAGAGGGGGGCCGGCCAGGGAGCGAGGCAGAGACCCAGGUGCUCUGUCCCUGUGACCUUGCCCCGCAGUGCCCACACCCUCGUCAGGCAGGCUCAUGCCCCACGCUCUCAGCGCCUCUGGGCCCUGCCACGUCCUCCUCGCCUGGAGGACCAGAGAAGGCCCUGGGCACGUGCUGGCCCGACAGCCCUCUUUGGGGAGGCCACGCGCCUGGCGUGGAAAAGCCGGAACAAGGAGCUGGCUGCAGGUGGCAGGGAGAAGGGACAGAUGUCAGGGUCCAGAAAGGACCUGGAGGAGACCGGGGUGGGCAGAAUUGUCCUUGGGGGGCUUCUGAGUUUUUCUCCCCUCCUGAGUGGUCUGUCCAGGAUGCUGUGUCGUGGGUCAGAAGGAAGCAUGGGGGCGCAGCGUUUGAGGGGUGUGAAGGACGAGUGGCGAGGGGAGGAGCCCCCUAGGUCAGCCCCGCUGUCUGUCUACAGAAACCUGUCAGCUGGUCGGCACCCACCUGGGGCCGGCACGGGGGGAAGGGCUGAUGUCCUCAGCUGCAUCUGGGAGCCCGAGUGGGGCCCGUGUCUGGGACCUCACCCCUGUCAUCCUAGCUGCAUCCCGGCUGCAGGGGGGAAGCAGAGGCCUGGAGAGGCAGAGCUUCCCCGGCUCUUUCUCCCCGUGCACAGAUAGCUCAGCCAGUUUGGCUCCAGAAGAAGGAAGAAGGGCCAACGUAGGACACAGCCGCCCGCAUGUUCUCCCCGUGUCUCCCGGUGCCCGGCGGGGGCCGUUUGAUGGAGGCCAGUGGGGAGGUGUCACAGACAGACAGACCGCAGCCAUUGCCCGCCCGAGGAUCGGUGGAGUGAUGCACAGAGAGGGUGCGGACCGGUUGCCUGCUCUGCCCCAGACCAUCAGCCUGACUCCCACAGCAAACCUCUGAGCUUGGGAAUAUCAUCCCCAUGCUGCGUGCGAUCUGAGGAGCUCAGAAAGGCUUCUACAGAGCGUAGCACUCACGGGCACAGAUGCUCAGCAGAGGGACGCAGGACAGAAGAAGGCCACCCAGUGUGUUACUGGGUUCCCAAGGACUGUGACCAGACAACAGGGGUUGCUGUGUCUCCCUCCCCCAGUCCAGGAGGAGGCCUGGAGAGGAAGAGGAGGGGGGAGGGGGGAGGAG